CAGAGGGUAGUUUAAGUAGAAUAUC
rnacentral:tRNA from 1 species